UAAACAAGAUAGGUAUUCCUCAGUAGCUGGUCGAACCCACGGCAAAUGGAUCAUAAAGUCUUAAAAAAAGAAUAGAUACGAUUGCAUUGCAUGUAGUAACAGAUGCGAUCAUACCAGCACUAAUGCACCGGAUCCCAUCAGAACUCCGCAGUUAAGUGUGCUUGGGCGAGAGUAGUACUAAGAUGGGUGACCUCGAAGAAUGUCCUCGUGUUGCAUCCCUC
rnacentral:rRNA from 1 species